rnacentral:rRNA from 1 species
CGGCUCAGUAACACGUGGAUAACCUACCCUUGAGUUGGGAAUAAACCCGGGAAACUGGGUAUAAUACCCGAUAGAUCUCGACUGCUGGAAUGCAUCGAGAUCCAAAGCUCCGGCGCUCAAGGAUGGAUCUGCGGCCUAUCAGGUAGUAGUGGGUGUAGCGUACCUACUAGCCUACGACGGGUACGGGUUGUGAGAGCAAGAGCCCGGAGAUGGAUUCUGAGACACGAAUCCAGGCCCUACGGGGUGCAGCAGGCGCGAAAACUUUACAAUGCUGGAAACAGCGAUAAGGGGACCUCGAGUGCCAGGUUACAAAUCUGGCUGUCGUGAUGCCUAAAAAGCAUUGCAUAGCAAGGGCCGGGCAAGACCGGUGCCAGCCGCCGCGGUAACACCGGCGGCUCGAGUGGUAACCGUUAUUAUUGGGUCUAAAGGGUCUGUAGCCGGCCGGAUAAGUCUCUUGGGAAAUCUGGCAGCUUAACUGUCAGGCUUUCAGGAGAUACUGUCUGGCUCGAGGCCGGGAGAGGUGAGAGGUACUUCAGGGGUAGGGGUGAAAUCUUGUAAUCCUUGAAGGACCACCAGUGGCGAAGGCGUCUCACCAGAACGGACCUGACGGCAAGGGACGAAAGCUAGGGGCACGAACC